rnacentral:lncRNA from 1 species
ACAUCAGGGACUCACAGAUUUGAAACAUUGAAAUUAUCACCUCUAUAAUAUUGCAUUCCACAUCUAAGGUUCCUUCUUACAGAUAUACAUUAUGCAAUAUCCUAGCUUAGCAACCAAAUUCAUCUAGCCAACAAUCUUAACUAAUCUUAUUAUCAAUCUCCUCAACCAACCUCAUUUCUUAAUGUAAAAAGUGUAGGCUUUACCUUGGGAGUAUCGAUCACAGGAUGCAAGGAUUUCAGACAAGUAUCUGGAGCUGCAGGUAAAAGUUAGUUCCUAGUUUCUCUCUCUCUAAAUUUCUCUCUUAAGUCAAAGUCUGCUUCCAUUGCAGGAUCUGUGACCAAGAUUGGACAGGCUUCCAUGAAUCAAAACUUAAUGGUGGUUGCCACCAAGUUCUGUUCACUUCUUUUGACUUAUAUCCAAGAGUUCUUUGCGAAAGCGAGCUUGAAGAUUGCUGCCUCCAAGUCCCGUUUCGAACUCUUUUAUUGGAGUCUUUUAUGAAUCAAGCCGUAAUGGUUUUAGCCACCAAGUCCUGUUCAGACUCAUCCUAAUUAAACAAUAGAUCUUAUAUAUAUAUAUAUUUAUUUUUUAUUUUUAUUUCUUUUUAUUUUAUUUUUAUUUUAUUUUUUGUGUACUCACUAACUAAUCUAGAGUCGAAAUUUAGAGAGAGAAAAUGUGAUAAAUAAUCUAAACCAGGCGUUACCUUCCAGCCUUGUCUGAAAAAACCGAUCCCAUGUAUACCAAGCCCCAAGACAAGCAGUGAAGUCAGGUUAGUGUUGGAGGUUAGCUUCGGUUCUUUCUAACAAGCUAGCAAGUGUGUAUAGUUGACUGGUUGAUCCACUUUAGCAUCUAUAGUAUUAUCUGCAGUCAGUAAAUCUAGAAUGGUGCUAGAAAGUGGUUAGACAUUCAAGUAGAAAUCAUUAGUUCAUAAUCCCCUUCUUGACUCAAUAAAAUUAUUUUUGAAAAGAUUUUUGACAAAAACUCAAGAAAGUGGUGUUAGUAACUACCUCCCCCAGACUUAAAUUACACCGACUCGGUGCAAAGUGUCCAAGGGUAGGUUAAAAUCAAGUUAG